rnacentral:lncRNA from 1 species
AUCUUAGAAUAGUUUUAGGUCGCUCACCCAAGAGGAGAUCAGUCUCCUCUUUUGUUCACACCUAGGAAGAAGGAAACCCACCCAAACCUCAUGCUCUAAAGAAGUAUUUUUGACCCUCUUUCUCUUUGAUAUCUCACAGUAAAAAACUCUCUUAGUUUGGCAUACAAAAUUGUGAUCUUUUUAUGUUUGUCACACAAAUCAGAUAAGAUAAGAUAAGGGCUGG